rnacentral:rRNA from 1 species
GAUGAACGCUGGCGGCGUGCCUAAUACAUGCAGGUCGAGCGAACGGACGAGAAGCUUGCUUCUCUGAUGUUAGCGGCGGACGGGUGAGUAACACGUGGAUAACCUACCUAUAAGACUGGGAUAACUUCGGGAAACCGGAGCUAAUACCGGAUGAUAUUUUGAACCGCAUGGUUCAAAAGUGAAAGACGGUCUUGCUGUCACUUAUAGAUGGAUCCGCGCUGCAUUAGCUAGUUGGUAAGGUAACGGCUUACCAAGGCAACGAUGCAUAGCCGACCUGAGAGGGUGACCAGCCACACUGGGACUGAGACACGGUCCAGACUCCUACGGGAGGCAGCAGUAGGGAAUUUUCCGCAAUGGGGGAAAGCCUGACGGAGCAACGCCGCGUGAGUGAUGAAGGCCUUCGGGUCGUAAAACGCUGUUAUUAGGGAAGAACAUAUGUGUAAGUAACUGUGCACAGCUUGACGGUACCGAAUCAGAAAGCAACGGCUAACUACGUG